rnacentral:rRNA from 1 species
ACGAACGCUGGCGGCGUGCCUAACACAUGCAAGUCGAGCGGAGACAGUGAGUAGCUUGCUACGAACUGUUUUAGCGGCGGACGGGUGAGUAACGCGUGAGCAACCUUUCCCAGACAGGGGAAUAACACACCGAAAGGUGUACUAAUACCGCAUAAGACCACGGGAUCACAUGGUUCUGAGGUAAAAGAUUUAUCGGUUUGGGGUGGGCUCGCGUCCGAUUAGGUAGUUGGUGAGGUAACGGCCCACCAAGCCGACGAUCGGUAGCCGACCUGAGAGGGUGAUCGGCCACAUUGGGACUGAGACACGGCCCAAACUCCUACGGGAGGCAGCAGUGGGGAAUAUUGGGCAAUGGAGGAAACUCUGACCCAGCAACGCCGCGUGGAGGAAGAAGGUUUUCGGAUCGUAAACUCCUGUCCUUGGAGACGAGUAGAAGACGGUAUCCAAGGAGGAAGCCCCGGCUAACUACGUGCCAGCAGCCGCGGUAAUACGUAGGGGGCAAGCGUUGUCCGGAAUAAUUGGGCGUAAAGGGCGCGUAGGCGGCUCGGUAAGUCUGGAGUGAAAGUCCUGCUUUUAAGGUGGGAAUUGCUUUGGAUACUGUCGGGCUUGAGUGCAGGAGAGGUUAGUGGAAUUCCCAGUGUAGCGGUGAAAUGCGUAGAGAUUGGGAGGAACACCAGUGGCGAAGGCGACUAACUGGACUGUAACUGACGCUGAGGCGCGAAAGUGUGGGGAGCAAACAGGAUUAGAUACCCUGGUAGUCCACGCCGUAAACGAUGAGUGCUAAGUGUUAGGGGGUUUCCGCCCCUUAGUGCUGCAGCUAACGCAUUAAGCACUCCGCCUGGGGAGUACGACCGCAAGGUUGAAACUCAAAGGAAUUGACGGGGGCCCGCACAAGCAGUGGAGUAUGUGGUUUAAUUCGACGCAACGCGAAGAACCUUACCAGGGCUUGACAUCCUACUAACGAGAUAGAGAUAUGUUAGGUGCCCUUCGGGGAAAGUAGAGACAGGUGGUGCAUGGUUGUCGUCAGCUCGUGUCGUGAGAUGUUGGGUUAAGUCACGCAACGAGCGCAACCCCUAUUGUUAGUUGCCAUCAUUAAGUUGGGCACUCUAGCGAGACUGCCGGUAAUAAACCGGAGGAAGGUGGGGAUGACGUCAAAUCAUCAUGCCCCUUAUGACCUGGGCUACACACGUGCUACAAUGGCCACGACAGAGAGAAGCGAAAUCGUAAGGUAGAGCGGAACUCAAAAAAGUGGUCCCAGUUCGGAUUGUGGGCUGCAACCCGCCCACAUGAAGUCGGAGUUGCUAGUAAUCGCGGAUCAGCAUGCCGCGGUGAAUACGUUCCCGGGCCUUGUACACACCGCCCGUCACACCAUGGGAGUUGGGAGUGCCCAAAGCCGGUGAGGCAACCGCAAGGAGCCAGCCGUCUAAGGCAAGACCAAUGACUGGGGUG